rnacentral:rRNA from 1 species
UGGUGGAGUGAUUUGUCUGGUUAAUUCCGAUAACGAACGAGACCUUAACCUGCUAAAUAGUCACAUUCAGUUUUACUUGGGUGCUUGACUUCUUAGAGGGACUAUAGACGUUUAGUCUAUGGAAGUUUGAGGCAAUAACA